rnacentral:rRNA from 1 species
CUUUCUUUGCUGGCGACCGGCGCACGGGUGAGUAGCACGUAUCCAACCUGCCCUUUACUCGGGGAUAGCCUUUCGAAAGAAAGAUUAAUACCCGAUGGCAUAAUGAUUCCGCAUGGUUUCAUUAUUAAAGGAUUCCGGUAAAGGAUGGGGAUGCGUUCCAUUAGGUUGUUGGUGAGGUAACGGCCCACCAAGCCUUCGAUGGAUAGGGGUUCUGAGAGGAAGGUCCCCCACAUUGGAACUGAGACACGGUCCAA